AUCCAGAUGACGAGUACUAAAUAGGACGAGAUACACAUCCUGGAU
rnacentral:hammerhead_ribozyme from 1 species